AUGACCAUUCUAUCCAAUUCUUGCAUAUCCCUGGUCCUUCCACUUCUAACUCGGGGCAUUGUACUUUCGGACAUGACGCCCUGCAAAGCUUUUAACUACAGGCAUCCCCCGCGUUAUGGAACCCCGGGGCAACGUUAAGGAAGCUUCAAGGACCAGCAACACAUUUCAGUAUGACCAGUACAGACUCAACCAUACACACUGUCCAGACCUAUACAGUAUAUUAUGACGGCACCAAUGACAACUGAUGAAACACAGUUGAUCUGUGGGAGAUAAGGAAACCUCAAGAGCACAAUACACAGAAGUCUUGGAAGAACUCUGAAGAAAACAGUACGAGACAUACCAAAAGGUGGGUAACUGACGUAUUUUCAUUAUCUAG
rnacentral:lncRNA from 1 species